GGUCCGUUAACGCAGUGGUCAACGCACUUACUCUAGGUCAUCUUUUGUGAAUAAUCGCGGUUUAUUCACGAAAGAUUACCCUCAGCGAGAGGUCGUGGGUUCGAAUCCCACAUAGGCUA